UUCUUCUCUGCAGACUGCCCCCUCUGUCUGCCUUCAACUCUAGUCAUCCUAGUCCUGGCUCUGAUCCAAACUCAUGGGUUUAUAAGUCAAGUCUACCUUAGAUUCACAGUUGGUGGAAAAUAGAACCCAUUAACCUACAAUUGUC